UACGAAGGGGGCUAGCGUUGCUCGGAAUCACUGGGCGUAAAGCGCACGUAGGCGGAUCGUUAAGUCGGAGGUGAAAUCCUGGAGCUCAACUCCAGAACUGCCUUCGAUACUGGCGAUCUUGGAGUCCGGGAGAGGUGAGUGGAACUCCGAGUGUAGAGGUGAAAUUCGUAGAUAUUCGGAAGAACACCAGUGGCGAAGGCGGCUCACUGGCCCGGUACUGACGCUGAGGCGCGAAAGCCAGGGGAGCAAACGGG
rnacentral:rRNA from 1 species